rnacentral:rRNA from 1 species
UAACCUGCCUCAUACACAUGGAUAACAUACCGAAAGGUAUGCUAAUACAAGAUGAUAUAAGAGAUUCGCAUGGAUUUCUUAUCAAAGCUUUUGCGGUAUGAGAUGGACCCGCGUCUGAUUAGCUAGUUGGUAAGGUAAUGGCUUACCAAGGCGACGAUCAGUAGCCGACCUGAGAGGGUGAUCGGCCACAUUGGAACUGAGACACGGUCCAA